GAGGUACUCGAGUGGCGAACGGGUGAGUAACACGUGGGCAAUGUGCCCUGCACUUCGGGAUAAGCCUGGGAAACUGGGUCUAAUACCGAAUAGGACCUUUAGACGCAUGUCUUUUGGUGGAAAGCUUUUGCGGUGUGGGAUGGGCCCGCGGCCUAUCAGCUUGUUGGUGGGGUGAUGGCCUACCAAGGCGACGACGGGUAGCCGGCCUGAGAGGGUGUCCGGCCACACUGGGACUGAGAUACGGCCCAGACUCCUACGGGAGGCAGCAGUGGGGAAUAUUGCACAAUGGGCGCAAGCCUGAUGCAGCGACGCCGCGUGGGGGAUGACGGCCUUCGGGUUGUAAACCUCUUUCACCAUCGACGAAGGUUCGGGUUUUCUCGGAUUGACGGUAGGUGGAGAAGAAGCACCAGCCAACUACGUGCCAGCAGCCGCGGUAAUACGUAGGGUGCGAGCGUUGUCCGGAAUUACUGGGCGUAAAGAGCUCGUAGGUGGUUUGUCGCGUUGUUCGUGAAAUCUCACGGCUUAACUGUGAGCGUGCGGGCGAUACGGGCAGACUAGAGUACUGCAGGGGAGACUGGAAUUCCUGGUGUAGCGGUGGAAUGCGCAGAUAUCAGGAGGAACACCGGUGGCGAAGGCGGGUCUCUGGGCAGUAACUGACGCUGAGGAGCGAAAGCGUGGGGAGCGAACAGGAUUAGAUACCCUGGUAGUCCACGCCGUAAACGGUGGGUACUAGGUGUGGGUUUCCUUCCUUGGGAUCCGUGCCGUAGCUAACGCAUUAAGUACCCCGCCUGGGGAGUACGGCCGCAAGGCUAAAACUCAAAGGAAUUGACGGGGGCCCGCACAAGCGGCGGAGCAUGUGGAUUAAUUCGAUGCAACGCGAAGAACCUUACCUGGGUUUGACAUGCACAGGACGCGUCUAGAGAUAGGCGUUCCCUUGUGGCCUGUGUGCAGGUGGUGCAUGGCUGUCGUCAGCUCGUGUCGUGAGAUGUUGGGUUAAGUCCCGCAACGAGCGCAACCCUUAUCUUAUGUUGCCAGCGGGUAAUGCCGGGGACUCGUGAGAGACUGCCGGGGUCAACUCGGAGGAAGGUGGGGGUGACGUCAAGUCAUCAUGCCCCUUAUGUCCAGGGCUUCACACAUGCUACAAUGGCCGGUACAAAGGGCUGCGAUGCCGCAAGGUUAAGCGAAUCCUUUUAAAGCCGGUCUCAGUUCGGAUUGGGGUCUGCAACUCGACCCCAUGAAGUCGGAGUCGCUAGUAAUCGCAGAUCAGCAACGCUGCGGUGAAUACGUUCCCGGGCCUUGUACACACCGCCAGUCACGUCAUGA
rnacentral:rRNA from 1 species